rnacentral:rRNA from 1 species
GACGAACGCUGGCGGCGUGCUUAACACAUGCCAGUCGAACGGAAAGGCCUGCUUUCCCUUGUGGAUUGCGGGUACUCGAGUGGCGAACGGGUGAGUAACACGUGAGUGAUCUGCCCCCAACUUGGGUAUAAGCCUGGGAAACUGGGUCUAAUUCCCGAUAGGACUGCAGGGUGGUGCCUGUGGUGGAAAACGAUUUUCUAGUGGUUGGGGAUGAGCUCGCGGCCUAUCAGCUUGUUGGUGGGGUAAUGGCCUACCAAGGCGGCGACGGGUAGCCGGCCUGAGAGGGUGGACGGCCACAUUGGGACUGAGAUACGGCCCAGACUCCGACGGGAGGCAGCAGUGGGGAAUAAUGCACAAUGGGCGGAAGCCUGAUGCAGCGACGCCGCGUGGGGGAUGACGGCCUUCGGGUUGUAAACUCCUUUCGACCGCGAGGAAGCCACCUGGUUGGAAGGGUGGUGACGGUAGUGGUAGAAGAAGCACCGGCUAACUACGUG